CCGCCUGGUUAACGCUCCUGCGUGGGCACCAGCACCGGGAAGUCCUUUGUUAGAAACCUCUUUGUUCACUCCGGAGCCCUUUUGCCAUGACUGCCGGGCCCCACUGGAAAGUGAGGUUCAGACGCUAUACACUCUGGUGUCAUGGAAAACUGAAAAAGGCAUAUCUUGUGAAUUUCUAGCAACCCCUUGGAUUCAUUGGAAAACUCUGGCUAAUUGCAAACCUAUAUUUUACAUAUACUGGAGAUUUUGUGCCAAAACAAAACUUUACUUACUGCAGAACUUGAUGGAAAUAAAAUAAAGGCGACAUGAACAAUAAAGGCUUAACCUAU